UGGGGAAUUUUGGACAAUGGGCGAAAGCCUGAUCCAGCAAUGCCGCGUGUGUGAAGAAGGCCUUCGGGUUGUAAAGCACUUUUGUCCGGAAAGAAAUGGCUCUGGUUAAUACCUGGGGUCGAUGACGGUACCGGAAGAAUAAGGACCGGCUAACUACGUGCCAGCAGCCGCGGUAAUACGUAGGGUCCAAGCGUUAAUCGGAAUUACUGGGCGUAAAGCGUGCGCAGGCGGUUGUGCAAGACCGAUGUGAAAUCCCCGAGCUUAACUUGGAAAUUGCAUUGGUGGCUGCACGGCUAGAGUGUGGCAGAGGGGGGUAGAAUUCCACGUGUAGCAGGGAAAUGCGUAGAGAUGUGGAGGAAUACCGAUGGCGAAGGCAGCCCCCUGGGAUAACACUGAAGCUCAUGCACGAAAGCGUGGGGAGCAAACAGG
rnacentral:rRNA from 1 species